rnacentral:rRNA from 1 species
UACGUAGGGGGCAAGCGUUGUCCGGAUUCAUUGGGCGUAAAGAGCUCGUAGGCGGUUCAGUAAGUCGGGUGUGAAAGCUCCGAGCUCAACUCGGAGAGGCCACCCGAUACUGCUGUGACUUGAGUCCGGUAGGGGAGCGUGGAAUUCCUGGUGUAGCGGUGAAAUGCGCAGAUAUCAGGAGGAACACCAGCGGCGAAGGCGGCGCUCUGGGCCGGAACUGACGCUGAGGAGCGAAAGCGUGGGGAGCGAACAGG